rnacentral:rRNA from 1 species
AGUGAACGCUGGCGGUAGGCCUAACACAUGCAAGUCGAACGGCAGCACAGUAAGAGCUUGCUCUUACGGGUGGCGAGUGGCGGACGGGUGAGGAAUACAUCGGAAUCUACUUUUUCGUGGGGGAUAACGUAGGGAAACUUACGCUAAUAUCGCAUACGACCUACGGGUGAAAGCAGGGGAUCUUCGGACCUUGCGCGAUUGAAUGAGCCGAUGUCGGAUUAGCUAGUUGGCGGGGUAAAGGCCCACCAAGGCGACGAUCCGUAGCUGGUCUGAGAGGAUGAUCAGCCACACUGGAACUGAGACACGGUCCAGACUCCUACGGGAGGCAGCAGUGGGGAAUAUUGGACAAUGGGCGCAAGCCUGAUCCAGCCAUACCGCGUGGGUGAAGAAGGCCUUCGGGUUGUAAAGCCCUUUUGUUGGGAAAGAAAAGCAGCAGGUUAAUACCCCGCUGUUCCGACGGUACCCAAAGAAUAAGCACCGGCUAACUUCGUG